rnacentral:rRNA from 1 species
CGCCUGGAACGGUGAGUGGAUGAAAGCUCCGGCGGCAUAGGAUGGGCCUGCGGCGUAUCAGGUUGUAGGGGGUGUAACGUACCCUCUAGCCCUCUACGCGUACGGGUGUUGGGAGACAUAGCCCGGAGAUGGAUUCUGAGACACGAAUCCAGACCCUACGGGGUGCAGCAGGCGCGAAAACUUGGCAAUGCGAGAAAUCGUGACCAGGGAACUCCAAGUGCAUCGGGUAAGACCGGUGCUUUUCUUGACUCUAAAUAGGUCUUGGAAUAAGGGGUGGGUAAGGACGGUGCCAGCCGCCGCGGUAAUACCGGCGCCUCAAGUGGUAGUCGCUUUUAUUGGGCCUAAAACGUCCGUAGCCGGUCUGAUACAUUCGUGGGUAAAUCAACCAGCUCAACUGGUUGAAUUCUGCGAGGACGGUCAGACUUGGGACCGGGAGAGGUGUGGGGUACGCUCAGGGUAGGGGUAAAAUCCUGUCAUCCUGAGCGGACCACCUGUUGCGAAGGCGCCACACUAGAACGGAUCCGACGGUCAGGGACGAAGCCUAGGGGCACGAACCGGAUUAGAUACCCGGGUAGUCCUAGGUGUAAACGCUGUGGACUUGAUGUUGGGGGUGCUCCGAGCACUCUCAGUGUCGAAGCGAAGGUGAUAAGUCCACUGCCUGGGAAGUACGGUCGCAAGGCUGAAACUUAAAGGAAUUGGCGGGGGAGCACCGCAACCUGAGGAUUGUGCGGUUUAAUUGGACUCAACGCCGGGA